rnacentral:ncRNA from 1 species
AUUAAAUCUAUGAGUAAGAGGAGUAGAUUAAGAAUUAAUUUUUAGAGAGUCGAUGGUUGGUGUAAAUCGAUAUUUAAUCUUUAUUGAAUGGACUUACGAGAGGAAACUGAAAUUCUAGUAGAAAAGUAGGGGACACGGCUUCCACCGUUAACAGGAUAGGGUAUGUUAGUACCUAAAAAGAGAUAUGAAUAUGUUGAAACAUAUUUGUAAUAGAGGUGGCACCGCGAUUUCAAGCCCUCUAC